CAACCGAAGAGACAGAAACAUGUUACAGCUGUGUCUUGCAGAAGACCAGUGGAGUCUUGGGAUCAUCUCUCAAAGAUUUGGUUAACCAAAGGCGCGCUGAGAGAGUUGGAUCGAAGAAAUCCCAGGCCUUCGAGUACCCAAAAGACUCAUAGACCACUCACUCAAGGGCUUUGGCAAAGGACAUAUGCACUAACUUCCUCAGCUCCUGUGAACCACACUCCCUGGAGGAGAUAAAGCAACUUGCCAGAGACAGUGGUCCAGAUCUCUCCAAUCUGAGAAAUUUUCCACCAGAGCAGAAUUUUCUCAAUAUUCAAUUGUCAAACCAACCUCACAGCAAAAAGCAGCCUUCAACAACAACUUCCGCUUCAAGCAAGUGAUCCUCACAUAGUGGUGGGACUUAUAGCCAUGGCUUUGAACAGCAUUUAAUCAAUCACCAAGUCUACCCCAAAGGAUACAAGUAUCCUGAUGGCCGAAAACUGGAAAGACCACUGAACUG
rnacentral:sRNA from 1 species